ACCUCUUUAUAACAAAAUCAUGCCUUUGGGUUGGAGGUCCAACUUGCCUUCAGCAUCCCCAGUGCCUCAAUAAACUCUGGCUCUGCCCAGUAGAAUCCAGCAAGAAUCAUGAAGUCUACCCAGCUUGCCAUAGACCCUUUUUCUCUUUUUCGCCCUCCCAUUUUCUUCAAACAACAUUCCAGUCUGGUACUGCAGCCAAUCCAAGUUCUAUCAGGAUAAGCAGCCAUGGAGAAAGCACCUGGAGGAGAAAUAAAGGGAUGGGUCCAGCAGAUCAAAACCUUAUCAGUCUUUCUUCGUGGAAAGCAGUUGGAGGAGGGAGUUGAGAGACAAGGAAGUGUUGAAGUUGUCGCCAAUAAUAAAAACAGCUUUUCCACUUCUGUCAGUCAUCACUGCUUGAGGAGAUGAUGUUACCACCUCUAGAAGACACCACUACUGUUGCUGUUCAGCACCAGAUACCAACAAGAUUUGUGAUGGUCAAAUGCAAUGGCCUUUUCUCAAUCCUAAUCCUUCUUGACCUCUCUGGGACCUUUGACACUUUUAAUUACUUUCCUGGAUCUUCUCUCCUCUCUGGGUUUUCAUGACACUGCUCACUCCUAGCUCUCCUCCUACCUAUCUGACUGCCUUCCUUAGCCUGUUUUGUUGGGAUCUUCAUCUAUGUCAUGCCCAUUAAAAGUGAGUGUCCA